rnacentral:rRNA from 1 species
UACGUAGGGUGCAAGCGUUGUCCGGAAUUAUUGGGCGUAAAGGGCUCGUAGGCGGUCCAUCGCGUCGGGAGUGAAAAGCUGGGGCUUAACCCCAGUCCUGCUUCCGAUACGGGUGGACUAGAGGUAGGCAGGGGAGAACGGAAUUCCUGGUGUAGCGGUGAAAUGCGUAGAUAUCACUAGGAACGCCGGUGGCGAAAGCGCUCGACUGGACCUCUUCUGACGCUGAGGCGCGAAAGCCAGGGGAGCAAACGGG